GCUAGUGUGGUGUAGUGGUUUGAGCACUGGACUAUGAUUCUGAAGAUCAGGGUUCAAAUCCCUGCUCUGCCA